rnacentral:rRNA from 1 species
GACGAACGCUGGCGGCGUGCCUAAUACAUGCAAGUAGAACGCUGAGGGAGGAGCUUGCUUCUCUGGAUGAGUUGCGAACGGGUGAGUAACGCGUAGGUAAUCUGCCUGGUAGCGGGGGAUAACUAUUGGAAACGAUAGCUAAUACCGCAUAAUAGCAGUUAUUGCAUGAUAACUGUUUGAAAGGUGCAAUUGCAUCACUACCAGAUGGACCUGCGUUGUAUUAGCUAGUUGGUGGGGUAACGGCUCACCAAGGCGACGAUACAUAGCCGACCUGAGAGGGUGAUCGGCCACACUGGCACUGAGACACGGCCCAGACUCCUACGGGAGGCAGCAGUAGGGAAUCUUCGGCAAUGGACGGAAGUCUGACCGAGCAACGCCGCGUGAGUGAAGAAGGUUUUCGGAUCGUAAAGCUCUGUUGCAAGAGAAGAACGAGUGUGAGAGUGGAAAGUUCACACUGGGA